UACGAAGGGGGCUAGCGUUGUUCGGAAUUACUGGGCGUAAAGCGCGCGCAGGCGGUCUUCCAAGUCAGUGGUGAAAGCCUGGAGCUCAACUCCAGAACUGCCAUUGAAACUGUUAGACUUGAGUACGAGAGAGGUGAGUGGAAUUCCCAGUGUAGAGGUGAAAUUCGUAGAUAUUGGGAAGAACACCAGUGGCGAAGGCGGCUCACUGGCUCGUAACUGACGCUCAGGCGCGACAGCGUGGGGAGCAAACGGG
rnacentral:rRNA from 1 species